rnacentral:rRNA from 1 species
GACGAACGCUGGCGGCGUGCUUAACACAUGCAAGUCGAACGGAAAGGCCUCUUUCGGGGGGUACUCGAGUGGCGAACGGGUGAGUAACACGUGAGUAACCUGCCCUUGACUUUGGGAUAACUUCAGGAAACUGGGGCUAAUACCGGAUAGGAGCUCCUGCUGCAUGGUGGGGGUUGGAAAGUUUCGGCGGUUGGGGAUGGACUCGCGGCUUAUCAGCUUGUUGGUGGGGUAGUGGCUUACCAAGGCUUUGACGGGUAGCCGGCCUGAGAGGGUGACCGGCCACAUUGGGACUGAGAUACGACCCAGACUCCUACGGGAGGCAGCAGUGGGGAAUAUUGCACAAUGGGUGGAAGCCGGAUGCAGCAACGCCGUGUGCGGGAUGACGGCCUUCGGGUUGUAAACCGCUUUCGCUCAUGACGAAGCUUUGUGUGACGGUAGUGGGUAAAGAAGCACCGGCUAACUACGUG